GAGUUUGAUCAUGGCUCAGGAUGAACGCUGGCGGCGUGCCUAACACAUGAAGUCGAACGGGGGUAGCAAUACUCCAGUGGCGCACGGGUGAGUAACACUAGCUAACCUGCCUCAAAGUGUGGGAUAACGUCUCGAAAGGGAUGCUAAACCGCAUAAGCUCACAGGAUGUAGAGGGAUGUGAGAAAAGGCGAAAGCCCUUUGAGAGGGGGCUGCGGCCCAUCAGGUAGUUGGUAGGGUAAAGGCCUCCAAGCCGACGACGGGUAGGGGGCCUGAGAGGGUGGACCCCCACACUGGACUGAGAGACGGCCCAGACUCCUACGGGAGGCAGCAGUGAGGAAUAUUGUCAAUGGGCGCAAGCCUGAACCAGCGACGCCGCGUGGACGAAGAAGGUUUCGGAUCGUAAAGUCCUUUUCUGCGUGAAGAGGAAGGACAGUAGCGCAGAAUAAGUCUCGGCUAACUACGUGCCAGCAGCCGCGGUAAAACGUAGGAGCAAGCGUUAUCCGGAGUUACUGGGCGUAAAGGGCGUGCAGGCGGCCUGAAAGUCUAUUGUGAAAGCUCCCUGGCUAAACCGGGAGAGGUCAGUAGAUAUGUCGGGCUGGAGGACGGUAGAGGCGGGUGGAAUUCCGGGUGUAGUGGUAAAUGCGUAGAUAUCCGGAGGAACACCAGAGGCGAAGGCGACCCGCUAGCCGUACCUGACGCUAAGACGCGACAGCAUGGGGAGCGAACGGGAUUAGAACCCCUGUAGUCCUAGCCGUAAACGAUGGCAACUAGGUGUGAUUCGUAUGACCCGAGUCGUGCCGUAGCUAACGCGUUAAGUUGCCCGCCUGGGGAGUCGCUCGCAAGAGUGAAACUCAAAUGAAUUGACGGGG
rnacentral:rRNA from 1 species